rnacentral:lncRNA from 1 species
AUGGAUAAUUAUCUCUUUAUCUCGUCUGUAGAGAUGUCUGUCUUCAAAGCUGACGUCUUCUCCUUGCCCUUGGAUCUGGAAUUAGAUAAUGGGAAUCUGUUGGAGGAGGCUGACCAUGUUUCACAAUCUCUUUCCCAGCAUCAGGCUACAGACUGGAAGUUUGUGUUGCUUUUUGUUCCGGCAGAUUCUCAGUGGUCCCGCACACAGCAGGCAGCCAUGGAACCUGAAACUAUGGUGAGAGAGGUGGAGGCAGCUCUGAAGAUAUUGAAGAAAAAGCUGCAUCGCACAUUGGUUCAUACGGUCGUCUGGAGCGGGCCCAUUGCAUUGGAAAACCACCAGCUUGCAACUGAUAUCAGCAUGAAGCAACGAAUCCGAAGAGCUUUAGAUGUACAGACACUACAGGACUCUCUUCAGCGUGCCAUGGAAAGAUUUAGUGAGCGUGAAGACUUUGCCGUCCUGCUGCAUCCAAAACCGAUUAUCUUGGGUCCAACCCUGGAUUCAGUAAGAAGGGGACCUACAUGA